rnacentral:rRNA from 1 species
GACGAACGCUGGCGGCGUGCCUAACACAUGCAAGUCGAGCGGGGUAGCCGGAAGGUGUAGCGAUACAGCGGAGGGGUACCUAGCGGCGAACGGGUGAGUAACGCGUGGGCAAUCUGCCCCCGGGGGCGGGAUAACAGACCGAAAGGCCUGCUAAUACCGCAUGAAGCCGUCCUAUCGCAUGAUAAGACGGUAAAAGGGGAAACCCGCCUGGGGAGGAGCCCGCGUCCCAUUAGCUAGUUGGUGGUGUAAAGGACCACCAAGGCGAUGAUGGGUAGCCGGCCUGAGAGGGUGAACGGCCACAUUGGGACUGAGACACGGCCCAGACUCCUACGGGGGGCAGCAGUGAGGGAUUUUCGGCAAUGGGCGAAAGCCUGACCGAGCGACGCCGCGUGAGCGAAGAAGGCCUUGGGUCGUAAAGCUCUGUCUAGGGGGAAGAGGAAGGACGGUACCUCUGGAGGAAGCCACGGCUAACUACGUGCCAGCAGCCGCGGUAAACGUAGCGUG